rnacentral:lncRNA from 1 species
GAGACGGAGACCUGCGGAGGGCGAGGGCUGGUUGGAGGUCGCUGUCCUUUCUGGGAACCAAGCAGGGGUCGCAGGAGGGCGGGGAUGGGUCAGCGGGGAUCUCUGAGUGGGGUUCGGCUGAGAGAGGCCACAGUUUCAUCUUUGGGAAGCUACCCUGGGCCGGCCACGCGCCGUGAGCCGGACUGGCGACGCCCCCCUGCCUCCACCGUGCUCCUUCACCCGAGAAAUUCAGCUCAGCCCCAGCCUCUCGGCAACCUCCCUUUGGCUCCGCCUUUUAAAGGACCUUUACGGUACCAUGUGUAGAAGCGCUGGCCCAGAGAUGAAGAUGAAGUUUCUAUCCUUAAGGCAUGCAAUGUGGGAGAUGAACAGAGACAGGCAAGAGAGCCACAGAAGAGAAAGUGAUGUGAAGACAGAAGCAGGGAUUGGAGUGAUCCAUCUACAAGCCAAGAAAUACCAAUGGUUGCUGCCAGCCACCAGGAUCUAGGAGAGUGGCAUGGAACAGAUUUUCCCUUAGAGCUUCCAGAAAGAACUAACCCUGUCAACACUGUGAUUCUGGACAGUGAGAGAGAAAUUUCUAUUGUUUUAAGCCAUCAAGUUUGUGGUAAUUUGUUAUGGCAACCGUAGGAAACAUCACCCAGUAAAUCCAAAUUAAAUAUUAUCCCAAUUUUUGCUUGAUACCAGAAAUGGCUGUAGUGUUUCAACACCCUCUAGCAUAAGAGAAUUGUAACAGGGGAAGCUGGUGUGGAAACAGACAGCAGUCUGAACCAGUUUGGACAAAAAUACUGGUCUUGCAAAUUUUAGAAAAAGCACACAACCUCUGAACACAUGACUAGGGCCCCUUCCAGGAACUUAGAAGGGGCCCGGCCGAGGGAGAGUCCCUGAAGCUUAUGUUUAAUACAUUUUACAGAAGAGCUGCCUCGGUGUAGGAAGCAGUGUAGUGUUGCGAAGACAAGCUCUGGAGCCAGACACCCUGGGUUCAAAUCCCAAUUUCGCAACUGUCUAGCUGUUGACUUGAGAGAAGUUACUUAGCCUUUCUGCGCCCCAAUUUCUUCCUUCGUAAAAUAUAAAUGGCAGUAGCACUAUCUGCCUCAUAGGGUUGUUUACCUGGUGAAGUAACAUGAUACACAUAAGGCAC